GACGAACGCUGGCGGCGUGCUUAACACAUGCAAGUCGAACGGAAAGGCCCUGCUUUUGUGGGGUGCUCGAGUGGCGAACGGGUGAGUAACACGUGAGUAACCUGCCCUUGACUUUGGGAUAACUUCAGGAAACUGGGGCUAAUACCGGAUAGGAGCUCCUGCUGCAUGGUGGGGGUUGGAAAGUUUCGGCGGUUGGGGAGGGACUCGCGGCUUAUCAGCUUGUUGGUGGGGUAGUGGCUUACCAAGGCUUUGACGGGUAGCCGGCCUGAGAGGGUGACCGGCCACAUUGGGACUGAGAUACGGCCCAGACUCCUACGGGAGGCAGCAGUGGGGAAUAUUGCACAAUGGGCGGAAGCCUGAUGCAGCAACGCCGCGUGCGGGAUGAUGGCCUUCGGGUUGUAAACCGCUUUCGCCUGUGACGAAGCGUGAGUGACGGUAAUGGGUAAAGAAGCACCGGCUAACUACGUG
rnacentral:rRNA from 1 species